AUUGAACGCUGGCGGCAGGCCUAACACAUGCAAGUCGAACGAGUGGCGGACGGGUGAGUAAUGUCUGGGAAACUGCCUGACGGAGGGGGAUAAGUAGUGGAACCGGUAGCUAAUACCGCAUAACAUCCGAUGUGCCCUGAUGGGAUUAGCGUGUUGGUGGGGUAACGGCUCACCAAGGCGACGAUCCCUAGCUGGUCCGAGAGGAUGACCGGCCACACUGGAACUGAGACACGGUCCAGACUCCUACGGGAGGCAGCAGUGGGGAAUAUUGCGCAAUGGGCGAAAGCCUGAUGCAGCCAUGCCGCGUGUAUGAAGAAGGCCUUCGGGUUGUAAAGUACUUUCAGCGGGGAGGCGUUACCCGCAGAAGAAGCACCGGCUAACUCCGUGCCAGCCGCCGCGGUAAUUC
rnacentral:rRNA from 1 species